rnacentral:lncRNA from 1 species
UGUAGCUGGAGCUGGGCCUGGCUUCAGAUGGAUGUCACUAUAGAGAUGGGCAGUGACGAAGAGGCCUGAGUUAACAGAUCGCCUGCUGCUGCUGUGUGCGUGGCACGGAUCGUCAGUGACAGUCUUGGAGGAAGGGUGUGUUCUUUGGCGUUUGAAGAGCUCUCAUCCAGCAGAAGAGUUCUCAUCCCCCUACACCCCAUCAACCUCCC